rnacentral:rRNA from 1 species
GGACGGCUAACUAUGUGCCAGCAGCCGCGGUAAUACAUAGGCCCCAAGCGUUAUCCGGAUUUACUGGGCGUAAAGAGUCUGUAGCCUGAUAUGUAAGUCUGUUUUCAAAUACUCCGACUCAAUCGGAGAAAGGGGAUAGAUACUGCAUAUCUGGAAGUUAUUGGGGGUUAGUGGAAUUUCCGGUGGAGCGGUGAAAUGCGUUGAUAUCGGAAAGAACGCCGAAAGUGAAAACAGCUAACUACAAUAAACUUGACGGUCAGAGACGAAAGCUUGGGGAGCAAACGGGAUUAGAUACCCCGGUAGUCCAAGCUGUAAAUUAUGCAUGCUAGAUGUUUUGGACCCUUGUGGUCUGGAGUGUCGUAAUCUAACGAGUUAAGCAUGCCGCCUGGGUAGUAUAUUCGCAAGAAUGAAACUCAAAGGGAUAGGCGGGGGAACACACAAGCAGUGGAUUAUCUAGAUUAAUUGGAUAAUAAGCCAAAAAUCUCACCUAAACUUGACAUGUACUAUGUCCUAUGUGAAAGCAUAGUAGUCCAAGUAAUUGGACGUGGUACACAGAUGGUGCAUGGUCGUCGUCAGCUCGUGCCGCAAGGUGUCUAGUUAAGUCUAGAAACGAGCGCAACCCUCAUCUUUAGUUAGAAUGUCUAAAGAGACUGCUUCGGUAACGAAGAGGAAGGAGAGGAUGACGUCAGAUCCUCAUGCCUCUUACGUUUAGGGCUUCAUAGAUAAUACAAUGGGUAGCACAACGAGAAGCUAAGCCGCGAGGUGGAGCAAAACUCUAAAACUAUCCUUAGUUCGGAUUGUAGUCUGGAACUCGACUACAUGAAGUUGGAAUUGCU